rfam:Ictidomys tridecemlineatus contig057055, whole genome shotgun sequence.
GGAGAUAUAGCUCAGUUGGUAGAAUGUUUGCCUUGCAUGCACAAGACCCUGGGCUCAAUACCCAGCACCACCA